rnacentral:misc_RNA from 1 species
UCAAACUUGGUCAUUUAGAGGAAGUAAAAGUCGUAACAAGGUUUCCGUAGGUGAACCUGCGGAAGGAUCAUUACAGAUAGAUUAAGAAGUGGCCCUUUGGGAGCUUGUAAAAGGGUUUCCAUAGGCACUUCAUAACUCUACCUUUAUUAUCCCCCCCUUUGAUCAAUGGAUCAUGUGAACUUUGACGCGAGUGAAGUAAGAGCCCCUAUUUCAUGGAUUAGGGGCUUCUGAAUGCUUGCGCUCCUUUUUUUAUACAUACCACAUCCAAUUAGUGAUACGCAUGAAUGGGUUAUUUGAUAAAACAAAUGAAAUGUAAUAACUUUCAGCAAUGGAUCUCUUGGCUCUCGCAUCGAUGAAGAACGCAGC